rnacentral:lncRNA from 1 species
GAUUUCGCUGAUUUUGUGGCAGAUUUUGAUGCCAAUUUUGCUGAUUUUGGGGUUUUGAAUUUUGGGCUGAUUCCAAUGCUGACUUCUGCGCUGAUUUUUUUGCUGAUUUUGGGUUUUUUGGGGUGGAUUUUUGGGCUGAUUUUCGUGCUGAUUUUGGGGAUUUUGUUACUAAUUUCUGUGCUAAUUUUGCUGCUGUUUUUUGCUGAUUUUGCUGCUGAUUUUGCUGCUGAUUUUUGUGCUGAUUUCUGUGCUGAUUUUGCUGCUGAUUUUGUGGCCGAUUUGGGGGAUUUUGUUGCUGAUUUUGGUGCUGAUUUCAAGGUUUUUGGGGGUGGAAUUUUGGGCCGAUUUUGGUGCUGAUUUUGGGGAUUUUGUUACUAAUUUCUGUGCUGAUUUUGGUGCUGAUUUCACUGAUUUUGUGCCGGUUUUGUCCCCGAUCUCCCCCUCCCCAGAUCCCGCACAUCCGCGUGGGCCCCGAGGACGCCCCCCGGCCCCCCCUGCUCCGCUUGGCCGCCCUCAGCCUCUACCCCAGCAACGAGGACGUGAGCCAGGCCCUGGGGGGGCUCCUGCGCAGCCUCCGCGCCCCCCCGGCCUCCCUCAUCUGCGCCAGGGCCGAGUGCCUGCUGCGGUUAGAAGAGCUGGUGCGGCAGUUCCUGAUCUCGCGCGAGGCGCUCUCCGUGCGCGUCCUGGACGCCGAGCAGGACCCGACGCCGCUGCUGAAGGAAAUCCGCGACGACAAAGUGCCGACCAUCAUCAUCGACGGCAGCGCCGCCACCGCCGGGCUCGUGCUCGCCAAGGUCGGCGGAUUUUGGGAAAAUUUGGGCGGAUUUUGGGGUUUUGGGACUUUUUUUGGGAGUUUUGUGACGAUUUUUGGGAGUUUCGGGGCGGUUUUGUGCGGGUUUUUGUGACUUUUGUGUGAAUUUUUAGGAGUUUUUUUGCUCGAUUUCUCGCAAGGUUUGCGGCGAUUUUGUGCCGAUUUUUGGGGAAUUUUUUUGUUGAUUUUU